AUAAGAAGAAUAAAUUGACAGGAUUUCCCCGCGGUAGUGAUUUCAAGUGUUUAACCAUGUUUGUAAAUUCUCUGAUUGCACAAGCUCAAUCGUUGUUUCUUUACCGCGUGUAUAAAGAAACGUGAAUGUUUCUAUCGAACCAACAGUAACGUGGUGAAUCUUUACAUACAUAGAUCUUCGUUCCAUUUGAUUAGACAAAUAAUCCGGAAGCAAUGAAACUAGUUUUGGCAACCUUGUUAAUUAGUUUGUGCAUGGUCACAAAUUGCCGUGCUUACACGCGUUAUUACCUAAACGCUUCACACCCAGGCAUGUGUACCUACUAUUAAGCUAUCAUCAGCCAUUCAGUAUAUUUUCGAUUGAGAAACAACUAACACAACCAAUUCGGUGUUUAAGUAAUAGAGUCGAAGUUUUCUGUCUUUCUAGAUCACCCUAACCAGUGCUUUGACCCUGUAAGUGGAUUUCAUUUGAAUGCUGGAUCUAUAGAAAGCAACAAAAACUGCGAAAACGUAACCUGCUCUGAAGAUUACUCGAUGUCUGUUACUGGAUGUCUCAUUCACGCAGUCCCAACAGGUUGUCAGCUAAAACCGGCCGAUUACGAAAAGCCAUAUCCCGAUUGCUGCGAGAGAGUGGUUUGUUCAAAUUCAAAAGAAGCUUUGUAGAUUCGAAAGUGAGUCAAAAAUAGAAUAACGACAACAAAACCUGUUUCUAAUGUUCAAAUAUCAAAAUUAUUGUAUUUGUUUCCUGCUUUACAACUACUAUCGGAAAAUUAUAAAAUUAUAAAAAAGUUGCCGCCAUUAAAAUCCCUAUUUCUCAUAUUCUAUUAUCAUUUCAACAUGUUCCAUUUUUUACGUUUAUCAUUUAUGUACUGCGGAAGUGGAUCUUCUAUCAGCGUUCAAUCUAAUAUUGCUAACUGGACCGCUAUGUAGCCAAGUAUUUGAGUUUCGAAUACGAUUAUAUUUUAGUCCGAUUCCUAGUAAAAAUUCGUUAUGUUAUUUUCGAAUCUUAAGAACCGGUGGAAAUUUUGCAAAAAAAAAAACAAAAACUGACGAUGAACCGAGUUUAUCGAGUUCACUCCAUCUUCAGCUUAUUUUAGGUUUAACGUUGAAUCGGUACGGUUCAUUAACCCGACCAAAACCAAGCAGCGCAUCAUGAUGCAGUACUGUAUUUUUCAAUUAAUUGUGCAACUUAUGAAAUAAGUUUCUGCUACUUAACUAGAAACUAUUGUGUUAUGGAAAUUUGAAAGCUGGGCAGCAAGUCUUUAUAAUCUUCGAUUAUUCUCAAAACAUUGAUUCUGUCAUUCAACAAAUUUCCAAGUUCGAGCGAAUUCUAUGCCGGUAAAAAGGUAAAACCGAUUUUACAACUUUCAAAAAAAAUCUUGACUGAAAAAAAUUGUCUAGCAGCACUCAGUAACUCGCACUAAAUCCGCUGCCUAAACACUAAGAUUUAAUUUGAAUGUUCGGUAAUUCUUGUACCGAAAACUUUCGGUAAUCAUCAGAAAGAACCUAGUUUGCGGUAAAUGCAAUUCAUUUUACUGAAAUUAUAUGAAUUAUACCUAAGCAAUCAUUGUCACACAAGCUGGUCUACAGAAUGCCGAAUCACUGAACUUCGUUAAAUUUUAUAAUAAAGGAAAAAUUGCCUUCAAA